rnacentral:rRNA from 1 species
UACGUAGGGGGCUAGCGUUGUCCGGAUUUAUUGGGCGUAAAGAGCGUGUAGGCGGCCAGACAGGUCCGUUGUGAAAACUCGAGGCUCAACCUCGAGACGCCGAUGGAAACCGUCUGGCUAGAGUCCGGAAGAGGAGAGUGGAAUUCCCGGUGUAGCGGUGAAAUGCGCAGAUAUCGGGAAGAACACCCCGUGGCGAAGCGGCCCUCUGGCUCGACCCUGACGCUGAGGCGCGAAAAGCGUGGGGAGCGAACGGG